rnacentral:lncRNA from 1 species
GCAGAUAAGGUCUGAUUCAGAAUCCAACUUUGUACCAGUACUAAUGUUGUCUUGGGCCUGUAACUCCCUCGUACUUUUCCAAUGCUAUAAAACCAUUUUGUUUUUUCAAUGUUACAGAACCGUUUUCUUCUAGUACACAAGGGAGAAAAAUGAACAAUGUAGAAGUUUCACCUGUCAUCUCCAGCAGAGAUUAGAUUGCCCGUCACAGUUGAAGUAGUGAAUGACAUGAAAUGCUGUUUCUUGGAAGAAGUUUAUUGCUUUUCAACCUCUCAAGAACUCAGUUAAUUCAGCUGCUAAAAUAAAAUACAGGCCUUUAUGUUUCCUGACAGUCUUGCUCCUGAAGUGGCUAACCUGGAGCUGGAGCUGGAAUGUUUUCUACAUGAAUUGUAUCCUUGAGACACAAGAAGUGUGAUGCCUGAGUAUUUUUGUAUUAUACAAACCACAGUGACAACACAAUUUCCAACCCUGCCCAUAGGCAUUUUGCACAUUCUUUGAAUGUAUAACUUGAUUUCAUUAAUCUUAUUAAAGGAGAGAAGGAAAGAGAAAAUAAACAUCCUCCAAGAGGACAUCUAAACUAUUUUCAGGCAAUGUUCUUUCUUUUGGUAAAAGCAAUCUUUAAUUUUGAGUAUGACACUAAGCCUUGCACGCAGCAAAGGCGAUCUCUAUCAAUUUUAUAAAUGCAACACCUCAUUUACUCUGUGUUUUCCUGCAGUGUCCCACAUACUUGUUACCUCAUUUUCUCCCAAUGAUAGAAAGGGUAAGCUCUGAAUCAGCCCCUACUGCAAACCACGGAGAUACACCUGAACUGCGGAGAGAGGAGUUUGCCUGAAGGAUUAAUGGAACAGGGGAAGCUUUCAGCAGAGCCUCGCAAGACAGUGACUGCACUAAGCAAAAACAAUCAUCUCAGGAAGACCGAAGUUCCUCCUCCAGCAACAAGGCUGCCCUCUUGCAAAAGCAGAGCUGAGCGUGGAGAUUAUGGUCCUGGUAUGGAUGAUGACACUGGCCACGGGGUCUGUAAUUUCCUGAGCACACACUGCAGGGCAGGAUGGUCCUCACUCCUCACAGCCUCACUGAAUGUUCGCUCAGGUUUGUUGCUUCUCUUUUGCUCCUGAGGAAAGUGAGGCCUACAGCCUUGUGGAACUGGCCUUCGAUCAAACUGGAAGAAAAAGAGGUGAGACUGGAAUUAGGCCGAAUGCCUCCCCGGCUCAGCACUUUCUCUGGGCCACGCUGCCACACC